rnacentral:rRNA from 1 species
AUGCAAGUGCAGGCGGCCGCUACCAUACAGCUUUGUCUUGCGGAUCAGGUCAUGUAUCAUGUCAUGGACGAAGAUGCUCCUAAGGGAAUUUGGGACAAGUUGGCAAAUCAUUAUAUGCCCAAGUCAGCGACCAAUAAGCUGUAUUUGAAGCAAAAGUUCUUUGGGCUGAAGAUGCAGGAGGGGUCGGAUCUUGUGGAGCAUGUGAAUGCCUUUAAUCAAUUGGUCACGGAUCUAGCGCGUCUGGAUGUGAAGAUUGAGGACGAGGAUAAGGCACUACUUCUUCUUGUUUCGUUGCCACCGUCCUAUGAGCAUUUGGUCAUUACAUUGACACAUGGAAAGACAACCAUCAAUAAUGAGGAAGUCACUGCAGCGUUGCUUGGACAUGAGUUGAUGAAGCAAAAGAAUGUUGCAGAAAGGGGGAGUACUCAAGGUUUGGGGUUGGCAGUUAAAGGUUAUCAGCUCAGGAAGGGACAAGAGGCGGAGAAAAAAAAGAAGAAAAAUGUGUAG